rnacentral:rRNA from 1 species
UACAGAGGUCCCAAGCGUUGUUCGGAUUCAUUGGGCGUAAAGGGUGCGUAGGUGGCGCUGUAAGUCGGGUGUGAAAUUUCGGAGCUUAACUCCGAAACUGCAUUCGAUACUGCGGUGCUUGAGGACUGGAGAGGAGACUGGAAUUCAUGGUGUAGCAGUGAAAUGCGUAGAGAUCAUGAGGAAGACCAGUGGCGAAGGCGGGUCUCUGGACAGUUCCUGACACUGAGACACGAAGACCAGGGGAGCAAACGGG